rnacentral:tRNA from 1 species
AGCAGCGUGGCUCAGUGGAGAGAGCCUGGGCUUCGUAGUCAGAAGUCAUGGGUUCGAAUCCCUGCUCUGCCA